UCUUCAUUUCACGUGCUCUCUCGCCGGUCGGAGGGACGAGAGAGUGUGCGGAAUGAAGAGA
rfam:Pristionchus pacificus strain PS312 contig1641, whole genome shotgun sequence.